AGUUCAGAUGAAUGAUAAUGAGCAUUGUCAAAGAGGCAGUAAAAUUGAGUCCUUGGUUCUGGCUGCUGAGCCAAGAGCCACAGGAGUUAAUUGUGUGAAUGGUAAUGAGACCAGGGAGGCAGCAGAUGCUUGCGCGUGCCUUUACAAUCCAAAUCCCACCAACAAAUUCCUCCCACAGAAACUUUGAGGGACAUCUUGGCACCCUGGAGAUGGAGAGAGACCCAGCCAUCGCCACAUGCCACCUGCUAGACCCAUUGUUAAAAAAAAAAAAAAAAAAGCCCAUUACAAUAACAAAGUUGUUUGCUGUCUUUUGCAAUGACUUUAUGGCACUGGUUUUACCAUGUUUGAGGAAUGGAAGGAGAAAGAACAUCUGAUUCUUUAUAGAGAAACAUUUGCACCCAGAACAGUUAACGACUUACGUAGAAAGACUGAUGCUCAAUAUAUGAUGCAUAUUCUUCUGAUACGCCAUGCCCUACCUUCUCCUCUUGUAACUCCCCACCUAAGCUGUUUAUUCUAGGGCAGAUUUACAAGGCCACAUACUUUUGGAUGACAUUAAGGAAAGGAGACAUUUUUGUCCCUACAGAAAAACCAAAAGAAAAAAAAAAGGUUAGGAUGUAGAAUUGUUAUAAAUAUUCAUUUCUUAAUAAAAACAAAAACUCUUGAUCUUUCUGAAUAGCCUUAGCCAAAAUGUUCUGUUUUUGUUGAUUGAGAGUUGUCGCUCAUCAAUCAUUUAAUAAUUUUAAUUUGUUAGAUAUCUAGGAAUAGGAAGGCCAGCGUGCCCUGGCUUAGGGAAAUAAAUGACCAGAAUGGAGGCAAGCAAAAUUGGAAAUGAUUCUUACAUCCUGGGCAUUUUAGGGUUGUUUGGCAGUAUUUUAUACGUGGCAGUUUAGAAUUUUCCAUGAGAACAGCAGAACAGCAUGAAACAUUAAGAAACUCAAUUAUAUAUUAGUUACUUUCACUGCUGAGGAUGUAUAUACCUGCUUUGAGAAAACACUGGUCUGCUAUUCCUUGUAGGAAAAGCCUAUUACAAUAACAAAGUUGUUGGCUGUCUUUUGCAAUGACUUUAUGGCACUGGUUUUACCAUGAUAGAGGAAUGGAAGGUGAUUUUCAGUCGUGGGAUAUAGGACUUCCUUCAAUGGUGGCUGCAGAUGGGGGGUUUCUAGAAGUUUAACACUGUCCAGAAAAAUCACUUUCAAACAAUUUCAUUGUGCUUUGGUAAACUACACUGAAUAAAUAUGGGAAGAGGAUUCAUUACUUUAUACAAAAAAAUAUAUUUGUGGAGAGUGACUUAACACUGGGAAGGCUGGAGUCGGUAUGAACAAUGAUGAAACAUCAAAGAGCUGAUGAGUGAGAAGUGGGUUUCUUUGAUCUCAGAUCUAUACUCUCCUCUGGGUGAAAGAAGAUCCAUAAAAGAAAUACUGCCUUUUUGUGAUUCAGUUCAGUGGAGAGAUAUUUCCUGGAAAUAUAAUGACCAUCUUGGGAAGGUAAAGGAACCCACACAGGAAGGCUAAGAAGGAGAAGGCAGCAUACUGAAGAUGAGAGAGCAGAAGUUAGGGAGAAACCUGUUUUCAUGAUGGCAUCACUGGGCUGCUUAAAUAUUCCACAUCAGAAAUGCCCUAUCUCUGUAUAUUUUGUGUUUUGCGAUAAUAAACUCCUU